GACAGAGGGUGCAAACGUUGUUCGGAAUUACUGGGCGUAAAGCGCGUGUAGGCGGCUUGGCAAGUCGGGUGUGAAAGCCCUGGGCUUAACCUAGGAAGUGCACUCGAAACUGCCGAGCUUGAGUUCUGGAGAGGAAGGCGGAAUUCUCGGUGUAGAGGUGAAAUUCGUAGAUAUCAAGCGGAACACCGGUGGCGAAGGCGGCCUUCUGGACAGUGACUGACGCUGAGACGCGAAAGCGUGGGGAGCAAACAGG
rnacentral:rRNA from 1 species